AUGGUCACAGAGGGUCAGUCCCUGGCACAGGGGAUGGUCACAGAGGGUCAGUCCCUGGCACAGGGGAUGGUCACGAAGGGUCAGUCCCUGGCACAGGGGAUGGUCACAGAGGGUGGGGGCAGUCCCUGGCACCCCUCAGAUACCAGCCUGGCUGUACAGGUUCCCAGGAGCUGGAGCACCCAUCUGCAGGGACAUGUCCUUGAAAUUCCUCCUGGAAGCAUUGCUGACUCCUGGAAUGCUGCUGGGUCAUUCCUCUGUAUGAUUGGUCCCCAGUGACAACGGGGCUGCCACAUCAGCUGGAAUUUUGUCCUGACCCCAUAGAUUAAAUGCACGGGACCAG